GCAAUGGUAGUUCAGUGGUAGAAUUCUCCCCUUCUGUGGGGGAGACCUGGGUUCGAUUCCUGGCUAGUGCA